rnacentral:pre_miRNA from 1 species
AGGGGAGGCCGGAUCCUGGGCUGUGCCCCGGCGCCCUGUGCUCCAGGUCUGUGCUGUUGGAUUUGCGCUCCCGCCCCGCAGCCCCCU